UGGGGAAUAUUGCACAAUGGGCGCAAGCCUGAUGCAGCAACGCCGCGUGAGGGACGACGGCCUUCGGGUUGUAAACCUCUUUUGGCAGGGAAGAAGCGAAAGUGACGGUACCUGCAGAAAAAGCACCGGCUAACUACGUGCCAGCAGCCGCGGUGAUACGUAGGGUGCAAGCGUUGUCCGGAAUUAUUGGGCGUAAAGAGCUCGUAGGCGGUUUGUCGCGUCUGCUGUGAAAACCCGAGGCUCAACCUCGGGCCUGCAGUGGGUACGGGCAAACUAGAGUGCGGUAGGGGAGAUUGGAAUUCCUGGUGUAGCGGUGGAAUGCGCAGAUAUCAGGAGGAACACCGAUGGCGAAGGCAGAUCUCUGGGCCGUAACUGACUCUGAGGAGCGAAAGCAUGGGGAGCGAACA
rnacentral:rRNA from 1 species